CCUACGGGCGGCAGCAGUAGGGAAUCUUCCACAAUGGGCGAAAGCCUGAUGGAGCAACGCCGCGUGGGUGAAGAAGGUCUUCGGAUCGUAAAACCCUGUUGUUAGAGAAGAAAGUUCGUGCGAGUAACUGUUCACGUUUCGACGGUAUCUAACCAGAAAGCCCCGGCUAACUACGUGCCAGCAGCCGCGGUAAUACGUAGGUGGCAAGCGUUAUCCGGAUUUAUUGGGCGUAAAGGGAACGCAGGCGGUCUUUUAAGUCUGAUGUGAAAGCCUUCGGCUUAACCGGAGUAGUGCAUUGGAAACUGGGAGACUGGAGUGCAGAAGAGGAGAGUGGAACUCCAUGUGUAGCGGUGAAAUGCGUAGAUAUAUGGAAGAACACCAGUGGCGAAAGCGGCUCUCUGGUCUGUAACUGACGCUGAGGUUCGAAAGCGUGGGUAGCAAACAGGAUUAGAUACCCCUGUAGUC
rnacentral:rRNA from 1 species